UAAAUUUGACUCAACACGGGGAAACUUACCAGGUCGAGACAUAGCAAGGAUUGACAGACUGAGAGCUCUUUCUUGAUUCUAUGGGUGGUGGUGCAUGGCCAUUCUUAGUUGGUGGAGCGAUUUGUCUGGUUAAUUCUGUUAACGAACGAGACCUCAGCAUGCUAACUAGCUAUGUGGAGCCAUCCCUCCGCAGCUAGCUUCUUAGAGGGACUAUCGCCGUUUAGGCGACGGAAGUUUGAGGCAAUAACAGGUCUGUGGUGCCCUUAGAUGUUCGGGGGU
rnacentral:rRNA from 1 species